CCUACGGGGGGCAGCAGUGGGGAAUAUUGGACAAUGGGGGCAACCCUGAUCCAGCCAUGCCGCGUGUGUGAAGAAGGCCCUCGGGUUGUAAAGCACUUUCAGUGAGGAAGAACGCCUGGUGGUUAAUACCCAUCAGGAAAGACAUCACUCACAGAAGAAGCACCGGCUAACUCCGUGCCAGCAGCCGCGGUAAUACGGAGGGUGCGAGCGUUAAUCGGAAUUACUGGGCGUAAAGCGCGCGUAGGUGGCUUGAUAAGCCGGUUGUGAAAGCCCCGGGCUCAACCUGGGAACGGCAUCCGGAACUGUCAAGCUAGAGUGCAGGAGAGGAAGGUAGAAUUCCCGGUGUAGCGGUGAAAUGCGUAGAGAUCGGGCGGAAUACCAGUGGCGAAGGCGGCCUUCUGGACUGACACUGACACUGAGGUGCGAAAGCGUGGGUAGCAAACAGGAUUAGAUACCCUGGUAGUC
rnacentral:rRNA from 1 species